CCCCACCAAACAUGUUUGAGGGGGGUAUAUAGGAGUCAGUUUUGUCGCGUCCCGUCGCGUCCCGUCCCGUCGCGUCCCGAAAUCUAUUAUCUCAGUUAUUACCAAAUGGAUUUGAUUCAAACUUAAAAUACAUGUUCCACAUUAUCACCCACAUCAUGUAACUCAAGGUGCAUAACUCUUGACACCAAGUUUUCAUGAAUUAUGUCCCCUUUUACUUAGAAUUUAAGGUUAAUUUUGUUGUAUUUUCACUAUAUCUCAGUUAUUACUAAAUGGAUUUGAUUCAAACUUAAAAUAGAUGUUCCACCUCAUCACCCACAUCAUGUGACAUAAGGUGCAUAACUCUGACACCAUUUUUUUUACGAAUUAUGCCCCUUUUUACUUAGAAUUUAAGGUUAAUUUUGUUGUAUUUUCACUAUAUCUCAGUUAUUACUAAAUGGAUUUGAUUCAAACUUAAAAUAGUUGUUCCACCUCAUCACCCAGAUGAUGUGACAUAAGGUGCUUAACUCUGACAUAAAUUUUUUAUGAAUUAUGUCCCCUUUUACUUUAAAUUUAAGGUUGAUUUUGAUGUAUUUUCACUAUAUCUCAAUUAUUACAAAAUGGAUUUGAUUCAAACUUAAAAUAGAUGUUCCACCUCAUCACCCACACCAUGUGACACAAGGUGCAUAACUCUGACACCAAUUUUGCAUGAAUUAUGCCCCUUUUUACUUAGAAUUUAAGGUUAAUUUUGAUGUAUUUUCACUAUAUCUCAAUUACUACUGAAUGGAUUUGAUUCAGACUUAAAAUAGAUGUUCCACCUCAUCACCCACAUCAUAUGACACAAGGUGCAUAACUCUGACACUAUUUUUCUUGAAUUGUGUCCCCUUUUACCUAGAAUUUAAGGUUGUAAGAUGUAUUUUCACUAUAUCUCAUUCUGAUUGGCUUAGAGCCAAAGGGAAGUAACCUUUUUAGCUCAUCUGAUUUUUUGAAAAAAAAUGAUGAGUUAUUGUCAUCACUUGAGCGGUUGUCGGCGUCGGCGUCGGCGUCGGCGUCUGCGUCGGCGUUGCCUGGUUAAGUUUUAUGUUUAGGUCAGCUUUUCUCCUAAACUAUCAAAGCUAUUGCUUUGAAACUUGGAAUACUUGUUCACCAUCAUAAGCUGACCCUGUAUAGCAAGAAACAUAACUCCAUCUUGCUUUUUGCAAGAUUUAUGGCCCCUUUGUACUUAGAAAAUAUCAGAUUUCUUGGUUAAGUUUUAUGUUUAGGUCAACUUUUCUCCUAAACUAUCAAAGCUAUUGCUUUGAAACUUGGAAUACUUGUUCACCAUCAUAAGCAGACCCUGUACGUCAAGAAUCAUAACUCCAUCUUGCUUUUUGCAAGAUUUAUUGCCCCUUUUGGACUUAGAAAAUCAGUUUUCUUGGUUAAGUUUUAUGUUUAGGUCAGCUUUUAUCCUAAACUAUCAAAGCUAUUGCUUUAAAACUUGCAACACUUGUUUACCAUCAUAAGUUGACCCUGUAUAGCAAGAAACAUAACUCCGUCCUGCUUUUUGCAAGAUUUAUGGCCCCUUUUUGACUUAGAAAAUAUCAGAUUUCUUGGUUAAGUUUUAUGUUUAGGUCAACUUUU